AUUGAUAAAGCUCUAGCAAGGUUGACAAAGAUAAAAAGAGAAGACAUAAAUACCAAUAUCAGGAACCAGACUACAGAUCCUGCAGAUGCAGAAAGAAUUAAAGAGGAGUAUCAGGAACAACUUGGCACUCCUAAAUUUGAAAACUUAGAAGAAAAGUGCCAAUUCCUCCAAACCACAAAGUACCUGUGAUGGUAAAUUUUACGUGUCAUCUUGACUGGGUGAAGGGAUGCCCAGAUAAAUAAUCUAACAUUAUUUGUGGGAAUGUCUGCGGGGGGUGUUUCAUGGAGCUGCUUUGCUCGCACGUGUGGAGAGCUGGUGUUGCCUGAGUUGACGUUCCCCCUCACAAAAGCCUGUUCCUCCUCACCUGCAAGCCAUGGGUGGUCUUUUCCCAAUGAUUGACCGAUGUGGGAGCAUGAAAGUUUGGUUCCUCUGGCUUAAGUAGAGACAAACUCUUGAGUCAAAAUUUAUGCUCAGAGUCCCCCACGUGGAUCAUACUGAAGCAAUCCUCCACAGGGAUCUUGCCAGAAAUUAUGCACUUGGUUAGCUUUUUCCUGUUUCCUGUUACGCUUCCUCCGUUCUCUUGUCAGGUUCUCCGGGGAACACUUCUUAAAAGUUCGUUGCAUGGAUAUGGGGGCGCCUGGGUGGCUCAGUUGUGUCAGUGUGUCACUUUGGCUCAGGUCAUGAUCUCAGGGUUGUGAAAUUGAGCCCCAUGUUGGGUUCUGCUCAGUGGGAAGUCUGCUGGAGAUUCUCUCUGGCCCUCUCUUUCUGGCCCUCACCCCUGUGCUCUUUCUCUCUAAAAGAAAUAAUCAAUCAAGAAAAUUCCAUGUGCGUGAAUUCUCAUCUCAACAUUUGCUUCUGGAGAACCCACCCCGAGACAAGGGGGGCUCCUUAUUCCUUAUUCCCCAGGUUUCGGGUAGGGGACAUUUAUUACAGUAACACUUCUUUAUGCCCUUCACUCACUCUGCUCCCUGCGGGGGAGGAGUGACAUGCUGACCUGUGAGUUUGGGACUAGGAAUUUCAUAUCUGUUGAUAAUCAGAUACUCUGUGAACCCGUAGGUAGUGGUGCCGGCUGCGGCCUUCCUUGUGGGCAGCUAAGGCAAGUCCAUACUUGGCAUGUGUGUCAGCCUCUGCCAGAAUGAACCACUGACCUUUCCAAAGGGAAGAGGUCAAGAUAAAAUCAUUUUGACGCCAAGUCCGUGGUUGCUGUCCUCAGGGGAUGGUGUCAUAUUGGGGAUUUAUCUCUGGUCUGUGUUGCUGGAAUGUCAGAUACCUGACCACAGCAAUAUGUCAAUACAUCUUGGGAAGAGGAAGGCCAUGCUGCCAGAUCCGUGCGUAGCCUCCGUCACAUCAGCCGGCCAGUUCGUCCUGUCUUCUUGGUCAUUUAGUGCUGCUGCUGCUCUCUCGUGGGUGUCAAUGUGAAAAGACAAAACCCUCCGUGUUGUGCCAUUCCCCUAAGUCCACCUGUGUGCCUCUUUCUCAGACGUCCUUGACCCCGGUCUUCUCAUCUUUCCGUUCCAAACCCCUGACCAGCCAACCAGAUCCGCUGUGGCCAUGAACCAGUAUGUGUCAUACCGCCAGGACACUUCUUCCACACAGAGAGGAUGACCAAGUGUACCACCAAAAGCCCUCCCCGUGUCUUUUCUAGAAAUCCCUGAGUGUGGCCAGAGGGAAGCAGCUGUACAGCCGACCCAUCCACGAGCCAGGACACCAUGUUUUGUGAGUCAUCUCCUUAGACACCUGUGGGUCAGGCUUGGUGACAUCCGACCUUCCUGCGCUCUGUGAAACCUGGAGACUUAAGGUCAUAGGACCUGGAAGGACCUGCCUCAAGAAGUCUAACCCCUCUAACAGUUGGGAAGCUUCGUCUAUGUAACUGUAUUCCGGAAGAAAGACAGGCUGUCACCUAGCUGAAAGGUACACUGUCAAGUGCUGCUGAUCACCCACAUGGUCAGCAAAGUAAAGGAGAAACUUAGCUUUCACCACAGGAAGUCAGCACCCAAGGAAGACUGCACUGUGGUUCCUACAAAGGACCUUUCUAGAAUAAUGGAUAUUGAUAGUGAACUUUAAUGAAAAGAGAUAGUCUAGAAAAUUGAUUACUGUUCUCAUAGGCUACAUUGGUGUCCCACUCCUGGAAGUGGUUAUUACCAUUACUUGAAAGAAUCACAAUUACUUAAAAAAAAAAAAA